rnacentral:rRNA from 1 species
AACACAUGCAAGUCGAACGGAAAGGCCCUUCGGGGUACUCGAGUGGCGAACGGGUGAGUAACACGUGGGUGAUCUGCCCUGCACUUUGGGAUAAGCCUGGGAAACUGGGUCUAAUACCGAAUAGGACUACGCUCUUCAUGGGGUGUGGUGGAAAGCUUUUGCGGUGUGGGAUGGGCCCGCGGCCUAUCAGCUUGUUGGUGGGGUAAUGGCCUACCAAGGCGACGACGGGUAGCCGGCCUGAGAGGGUGACCGGCCACACUGGGACUGAGAUACGGCCCAGACUCCUACGGGAGGCAGCAGUGGGGAAUAUUGCACAAUGGGCGCAAGCCUGAUGCAGCGACGCCGCGUGAGGGAUGACGGCCUUCGGGUUGUAAACCUCUUUCACCAGGGACGAAGCGCAAGUGACGGUACCUGGAGAAGAAGCACCGGCCAACUACGUGCCAGC